rnacentral:SRP_RNA from 1 species
GCUGGGCAUAGUGGUGUAUGCCUGUAAUCCCAGCUACUCAGGAAGCUGAGGCAGGAGAAUCGCUUGAACCUGGGCGGCGGAGUUUGCAGUGAGUCAAGAUCACACCACUGCAUUCCAGCCUGGGUGACAGAGUGAGACUCUGUCUCAA